rnacentral:tRNA from 1 species
AGGAGAGGGUUACUCCGCCUAUCAAGCGGGCAACGCAGGUUCGAAUCCUGCCGGCCCUG